AAGGAUGACAGUGGCUGACCUCCUGCUCCAACUACAUAUACACAGCUCCAUACUCUCAGAGAGUCCUGCAUCCCACAAUGGGGGCAAACUGGGAAACCCAGCUUCUGAACUUUGUGGCAUUAGGUUCUGCUGGUUAUCUAUUGGACUCUGACCUUACCCAUGAUGUCUUAACUGUUGCUCAGCCUUCCCACAUUCUCUCACCUGUACUACAUCUUGCAAGAUUCUACAAAAUUUCUGGUCAAGAAAAUGCAUCUGUUUCCCUUUGCUAAUCCUUUACAUAAUUCUGACUCUAAAACUAAGG